GCCCCCUUAGCCCAGAGGUCUAAGGCACCUGCCUUGUAAGCAGGCGAUCGUCCGUUCGAAUCGGACAGGGGGCUCCA
rnacentral:tRNA from 1 species